GAGUGAGGACUGAAAGCCCUCUGGAGUGGCAGUGAUCUGACCGAAUGGAAACUGUUGAACAUACAGCAUGUUGUCUACAGCAGGACUAAAAUGGUUGGACUAUGUCCUUUAAAGGUCGACGCGGCUAUUUCAGAUGAGUCACUCUGAAGGUUGUUCUGUGUUGCCACAGGCAGGCAAGGGCACCAGAUGACUGGUGUGUACUGGAGUAGGGCUUUGAGCCGCUGCGCUGCAUUGGAGCACAAUUCACAGCCAUGCAGCAGGUGCUGGAUAACCUGAGAGACCUGCCUCCCACCACGGGGGCCAAAGACAUCGACCUCCUCUUCCUCAGGGGAAUCAUAGAGAGCCCCAUAGUCCGCUCCCUCG